rnacentral:tRNA from 1 species
GGGUCGUUCCAGCGGUCGGAUGAUCGCUGAUAAGGAUGAGGCCCCAGGUUCAAGUCCUGGUACGCCCACCA